UCUGCUCAAUGGUUUACUAAAUAGCCGCAGUACUUUGACUGUGCAAAGGUAGCAUAAUAAAUUGACUUAUAAUUGAAGUCUAGUAUGAAUGAAUAUACGGAUAUAUUCUGUCUCCAAAUUUUAAUACGAAGUUGCUUAAUAAGUGAAAAUACUUAUUUAUAAAUAAUAGACGAGAAGACCCUAGAAAUUUUCAUUAACUUUUCUAUAUACUUUUUGCUGGGGCGGCAGAAUAGCAAGUAACCUAUUUUAUUAUAUUUGACCAAAUUUUUAAGAAAACAUAAAUUACUCUAGGGAUAACAGCAUAAUUAAGUAUAGUUUGUGACCUCGAUGUUGGACUAAGGAAUUAUUUACCUAGAAAGUAACAAAUAUGGCUCUGUUCGAGCAAUAAACCCU
rnacentral:rRNA from 1 species